CAGUAGCCACGGUAAUACGUAGGGUGCGAGCGUUAAUCGGAAUUACUGGGCGUAAAGCGUGCGCAGGCGGUUCGUUAAGACAGAUGUGAAAUCCCCGGGCUUAACCUGGGAACUGCAUUUGUGACUGACGGGUUAGAGUAUGGCAGAGGGGGGUAGAAUUCCACGUGUAGCAGUGAAAUGCGUAGAGGUGUGGAGGAAUACCGAUGGCGAAGGCAGCCCCCUGGGCCAAUACUGACGCUCAUGCACGAAAGCGUGGGGAGCAAACAGGAUUAGAUACCCCCGUAGUCCCUGUCUCUUAUAC
rnacentral:rRNA from 1 species